GGGUCCGUCUAUACAUGCAGUCGAGCGGACAGAAGGGAGCUUGCUCCCGGAUGUUAGCGGCGGACGGGUGAGUAACACGUGGGUAACCUGCCUGUAAGACUGGGAUAACUCCGGGAAACCGGAGCUAAUACCGGAUAGUUCCUUGAACCGCAUGGUUCAAGGAUGAAAGACGGUUUCGGCUGUCACUUACAGAUGGACCCGCGGCGCAUUAGCUAGUUGGUGGGGUAAUGGCUCACCAAGGCGACGAUGCGUAGCCGACCUGAGAGGGUGAUCGGCCACACUGGGACUGAGACACGGCCCAGACUCCUACGGGAGGCAGCAGUAGGGAAUCUUCCGCAAUGGACGAAAGUCUGACGGAGCAACGCCGCGUGAGUGAUGAAGGUUUUCGGAUCGUAAAGCUCUGUUGUUAGGGAAGAACAAGUGCGAGAGUAACUGCUCGCACCUUGACGGUACCUAACCAGAAAGCCACGGCUAACUACGUGCCAGCAGCCGCGGUAAUACGUAGGUGGCAAGCGUUGUCCGGAAUUAUUGGGCGUAAAGGGCUCGCAGGCGGUUUCUUAAGUCUGAUGUGAAAGCCCCCGGCUCAACCGGGGAGGGUCAUUGGAAACUGGGAAACUUGAGUGCAGAAGAGGAGAGUGGAAUUCCACGUGUAGCGGUGAAAUGCGUAGAGAUGUGGAGGAACACCAGUGGCGAAGGCGACUCUCUGGUCUGUAACUGACGCUGAGGAGCGAAAGCGUGGGGAGCGAACAGGAUUAGAUAC
rnacentral:rRNA from 1 species